CAGUCGCCACGGGAAUACCGAGGUCUCAAGCGUUGUUCGGAUUCAUUGGGCGUAAAGGGUGCGUAGGUGGCGGUGUAAGUCUAACGUGAAAUCUCGGGGCUCAACCUCGAAAUUGCGUCGGAUACUGCAUUGCUAGAGGAUUGUAGAGGAGAGUGGAAUUCAUGGUGUAGCAGUGAAAUGCGUAGAUAUCAUGAGGAAGACCAGUUGCGAAGGCGACUCUCUGGGCAAUUCCUGACACUGAGGCACGAAGGCUAGGGGAGCAAACGGGAUUAGAUACCCCUGUAGUCCCUGUCUCUUAUAC
rnacentral:rRNA from 1 species